rnacentral:lncRNA from 1 species
ACCACUGCCAAAGCUCAUCACUGAAACCUUUUAUCAAAAGUACAAACUAUACAAGUUAGAGGAUUUUUUUUUUUUUUUACCCUUUUGUUUCUGAGGGUUAAGGGGGUGGGGUGGGGGUGGUAGUGUGGAGAGGAAAGGAGAAGAGAGGCUGGGGAAGAAAACACAGCUCUGUCAAUGGACUGAAUGCACCAUUAAAACUGGCGUCACUACAAAGGGUGUGCUCUCCUUUGCCUCCCCCCCACAACCUGUCUGCUGCCCUAAAAAAAAAAAAAAUUUUAAAAAAAAAAAAAGACGGCAACCUAACCGGAGCAUCUCUGGGACGCCACAGAAAUCAUUACUGAACACCCGCACACAAAAGUAAUCUGUGAGGUGUGUUUUAAAGAAAGAAACAGCUGAAAACUUGAAGACGUGUUUAGAAAUAUACAUAUAUACACACUAUUUUCUUGUGGGAGAUCUCCUUUGGGCAAAGGUAAGUAGUAUAUAUCUAAUCACCCCCUCAGCACCCUCCUCCACCCCAUUUUGUCAUUCCCCUCCCCUUUUCCCCUCAUCAAGGUAUCACAAUAUAAGACCCUGAAGAAGACAGUCUGCCUUUUUUUUUUUCCUUUAAUAAGUGUUGGGGUGGGGGCUGGAUGAAGUAAAUUCUCUCAUCAAACAUCUGAUGAUGAGUUGCAGAAAGAGGGCACAGGCAAAAGGUAAUCGGACCAACAAGAUCUGGCUCUUUAUGGCAAUCCUUUCGCAAAGAUUUCCAAAGGAUCUGUAAUUAAACUGGGUAGUUUACUCUCAGGAAAUGAAGAAACUGCUUGCCUGGCUGGAUCCAACCUUUAGCUUGGCUGAGUAAAUAAAAGCACAAAUUCUUCUUUCACUUUUUCCCUCGCGGGAGGGGUGAGACUUUGGGGUUGGGGGGAGCCAGGAAAACAGGGGGUUUGCUGAGGGUUAAUGGUGUUUUUCGCAAAGUGUCAGCAGAAGAUGAUUAAAUUCCACCUCUUGUUCACCAGAUCACUUUGUGUGCACUUGUAUAUUUCAUUGUCGGCAACCGCUGAUGAUCACAUCUGUGCAGUACAUUAAGUGGCAAGCCUCUUCAUCUGCACGGGGUUUUUCUGAUGAUUUUUUCUGUGAAUAAUUCAUAUGAUUAUGAAGAGAAAAACUGCUAUUUUCUAUCUCUCUCUCUUCUGUAGCACAGAUUAAAAAAAAUCUUGCUGUAAAUUGCGUGAUUGGGGAGAUAGCCUGCUUUCAAAUAAUUUAAUUCAUGACAAAACCUAAUUACUGUCAGGUAAUACCCUGUCAGCUUUAAUGCAUUUCAUCAGUCAUAAUGAAAAGAAGAGCAUUUUAUGACCCAUCUAAUUA